GGGUAAUUCCGGGGAAGUGGGCGAGGGAAUGCGGAUGUCCCGAGUGGUGUCCGGAGUGAGUGGGCGUAAAGCGAGCGCAGUGUGUUGUAUAAGGCGGAAGUAAAAGGCAGUGGCUCAACCAUUGUGUGCUUUGGAAACUGUACAACUUGAGUGCAGAAGGGGAGAGUGGAAUUCCAUGUGUAGCGGUGAAAUGCGUAGAUAUAUGGAGGAACACCGGUGGCGAAAGCGGCUCUCUGGUCUGUAACUGACACUGAGGCUCGAAAGCGUGGGGAGCAAACAGGAUUAGAUACCCUAGUAGUC
rnacentral:rRNA from 1 species